AACUAACGCUGGCGGCGUGCCUAACACAUGCAAGUCGUACAAGAAAGUUGGCUUCGGCCGAUGAGUAAAGUGGCGCACGGGUGAGUAAUGCGUGGAUAAUCUGCCCUUUAGUUGGGAAUAACGUACCGAAAGGUGCGCUAAUACCUGAUAAUACUGCAUAACUACUGUUGUGUAGUCAAAGAAGGCCUCUGUUUACAAGCUUUUGCUGAAGGAUGAGUCCGCGUACCAUUAGCUGGUUGGUGGGGUAAUGGCCUACCAAGGCUACGAUGGUUAGCUGGUCUGAGAGGAUGAUCAGCCACACUGGAACUGAGACACGGUCCAGACUCCUACGGGAGGCAGCAGUGAGGAAUAUUGCGCAAUGGGGGCAACCCUGACGCAGCAACGCCGCGUGAGUGAGGAAGGUUUUCGGACCGUAAAGCUCUGUCGAGCGGGAAGAAAUGUAUCAUGGCUAAUAUCCAUGAUACUUGACGGUACCGCUAAAGG
rnacentral:rRNA from 1 species